GGGUUGCUUCUUAAUAAGAAGAGGAAGCAACACCAGAGAUGUUUCUGUCUCCAUUUGUACAUAGAAAAGAGGCCAUGUGAGGACACAGGUUAGAAGACUUCAUCUGCAAGUCUGGGAAGAGAGACCUCACCAGAAACUGACCCUGAGCUUGGAGUUAUAGCCUGCAUAAUUGUGCCAUUCCUCUCUUCUGAGCUCCUCUCUGGCCAACUUUAAUUCAUCGAUUGGUUCUGCCACCCGCAACGUUGGCUCCAAAGGCUUGUAGCGUUGUUCUAAUACUUCGGUGAUAUCUCGGAAGGGCCCCUGACAAGACAGGAUGAGGAACGUAUUUUAUAUGGAAGUUUUUUUGAGAAUACCUAGAUCAUCCAAGACUCAACUUGACCCUACAGGAUCACUCACCCAGAGGGAAGUGAGCUACCAUGUUGUGAGGCAGCUCUGUGAAGAUGCCAAUGUGAGGAGGGGCUGAGGCAUGACAACACCCAACCAUAGGCAGGCUCUCGCUAUGUUGCCCAGGCUGGUUGUGAACUCCUGGGCUCAAGUGAUCCUCCCACCUCACCCUCCCAAAGUUCUGGGAUUAUAGGCAUGAGCCACUGUGCCUGGCCUGGCUGACAUCUGGACUACAACAUCAUGAGAGAACUUGAGUAAGAGGAACUCACCAAAGGCAGUACCUAGAAUGGCAAACCCACAGAAACUGUGAAGUAACAAAUGUAUGUUGGUUUAACCCAAUAGAUUUUGGAGAAAUUUAUUAUACAGCAAUACAGAUACACAAGGGCCGCCUAUGCAGGGAGCUAAUGGUCAGGAGUUCUGGGAGUUUAACUGUGUGAGCCAAAUCUAACACAAUGUAGUUGAUACUACAUGGUGGCAGCUUAAUUAUUGAUUGGGAUGAUAGACCUGUGGCUCUCCAGGACUUUUAGGAUGGUGACAAUCAUCACUCACCCCACCCCACUCUACCCUUUAGCCUCAGGAAGUCAUUUGCCAAACCUGUUGUACUACAAUCUAGUUAUAGUGAAGAUUUCCCAUCUCUACUAUGAGUCUUGCUUUGUUUUCAGCUAUCUCUAAUUCUCAAAUUUACAUUUUUAAAAUUACUCAAACCCAAGUUAUGUUUAAAAUGGCAUAUAAAGACAUAUAGCUUCAAAUGAGAGGUUAAAUUCAAUAAAAUUGAUAGUACAUAUAUUCCCAGCAACAACAGGUUAUAACAAGUAGUGGUAUAACAAUAUUUUUACAUAAAAAAAUCUAGAUUCUAGGAAAUAAUCCAUGUUUUAACUUCUUAUUCAUUAUAACAAGAUUUAAUGCCAAAGAAGUGUUUGUUCACUUCUUUGGUAUAUAUUUGUAAAUUACUUUAUGUUUAUUAUUUAAAAUUAGAGUUGCAAAAAAUAAUUUUCCUCUGGUC